rnacentral:rRNA from 1 species
CCUACGGGAGGCAGCAGUGGGGAAUAUUGGGCAAUGGGCGCAAGCCUGACCCAGCAACGCCGCGUGACGGAAGAAGGCUUUCGGGUUGUAAACUUCUUUUCUGAGGGACGAAGAAAGUGACGGUACCUCAGGAAUAAGCCACGGCUAACUACGUGCCAGCAGCCGCGGUAAUACGUAGGUGGCAAGCGUUAUCCGGAUUUAUUGGGGGUAAAGGGCGUGUAGGAGGGAAAGCAAGUCAGAUGUGAAAACCCAGGGAUCAACCCUGAGCCUGCAUUUGAAACUGUUUUUCUUGAGUGCGGGAGAGGCAAUCGGAAUUCGGGGUGUAGCGGUGAAAUGCGUAGAUAUACGGAGGAACACCAGUGGCGAAGGCGGAUUGCUGGACAGUAACUGACGCUGAGGCGCGAAAGCGUGGGGAGCAAACAGGAUUAGAUACCCCAGUAGUC